AUUGAACGCUGGCGGCAGGCUUAACACAUGCAAGUCGAGCGGGGGAGGUUGCUUCGGUAACUGACCUAGCGGCGGACGGGUGAGUAAUGCUUAGGAAUCUGCCUAUUAGUGGGGGACAACAUUCCGAAAGGGAUGCUAAUACCGCAUACGCCCUACGGGGGAAAGCAGGGGAUCUCCGGACCUUGCGCUAAUAGAUGAGCCUAAGUCGGAUUAGCUAGUUGGUGGGGCAAAGGCCUACCAAGGCGACGAUCUGUAGCGGGUCUGAGAGGAUGAUCCGCCACACUGGGACUGAGACACGGCCCAGACUCCUACGGGAGGCAGCAGUGGGGAAUAUUGGACAAUGGGCGGAAGCCUGAUCCAGCCAUGCCGCGUGUGUGAAGAAGGCCUUUUGGUUGUAAAGCACUUUAAGCGAGGAGGAGGCUCUUAAGGUUAAUACCCUUGAUGAGUGGACGUUACUCGCAGAAUAAGCACCGGCUAACUCUGUGCCAGCAGCCGCCGUAAAAC
rnacentral:rRNA from 1 species